ACACGCAGUACGGCGCUGUUGGCUUGGCAGAAGCGCAUACACACAUUCACGCAGUAGGCUUUACUUUCAGUCCAGUGAGGUUGGUGCUUGUGUGGUGUUGCAGCUCUUGGUGGUCAGCGGAUAAACCCCGUAAAAAUGGAGAUCAUUCUAAUUUAAGUGUUUCACGGCGAACGGAGACAACAAAACCUGUGGCUGUGUCGUAGUGUUCGAAAUGGUGGCCCGUACAGUGUAACGAAAGGAACUAGGCGCAACAGCGAGGAAGAGCUGAAUGUGUUGUGACGAUUUUGUGAUUUUAUUCACUGUGCGAGUGUGGAAAGUGUGUGUUGAAUUGCGUUGAAUGUGCGUUAAUGUGAAAUUAAGUUCAGUGUUCGCAGUGCAUAUGUUUUUGAUUUUUGUGAAACUUGUUAGAUUAAUGUUAUUAAAUUCAAUAAAUAGAAUUGUUGUGAUAUAA